rnacentral:rRNA from 1 species
AAACUUUCAACAACGGAUCUCUUGGUUCUCGCAACGAUGAAGAAUGCAGCGAAAUGCGAUACGUAAUGUGAAUUGCAGGUUUUCGUGAAUCAUCGAAUCUUUGAACGCAUAUUGCGCCCUCUGGUAUUCCGGAGGGCAUGCCUGUUUGAGCGUCAUU